GAUGAACGCUGGCGGCGUGCCUAAUACAUGCAAGUCGAGCGGACAGAUGAGGAUCUUGCUCCGCUGACGUUAGCGGCGGGCGGGUGAGUAACACGUGUAUACCCCACCUAUCAGACUGAGAUCACUUCGAGAAAGCGGAUAUAACACCGGAUAAGAUAUUGAACCUCAGGGUUCAUUGGUGAAAGACGGUUUUGCUGUCACUACUAGGUGGUUCCUCGCCGCAUUAGCUAGUUGGUAAGGUAACGACUUACCAAGGCGACGAUGCGUAGCCGAACUGAGAGGGUGAUCGGUCACACUGGAACUGAGACACGGUCCAGACUCCUACGGGAGGCAGCAGUAGGGAAUCGUCGGCAAUGGGCGAAAGCCUGACGGAGCAAGGCCGAGUGUGUGAAGAAGGUCUUCGGAUCGUAAAACUCUCUUAGUGGGGAAGAACAACUGUAUAAGUAAACAUAGCUGUAUUGACGGUACCUAAUAAAAAAGCACCGGCUAACUACGUG
rnacentral:rRNA from 1 species